GGCCUUGUGGCCUAAUGGUAAGGCGUUAGAUUUCGGAUAGAAAUCCUCUAAAGAUUGUGGGUUCGAAUCCUACCGGGGUCG
rfam:Pseudallescheria apiosperma strain IHEM 14462 SEQ_SAPIO_0143, whole genome shotgun sequence.